rnacentral:lncRNA from 9 species
GCAAAGCUGGGCGCCGGCUCCUCUGGGAGGCGCUGCGGGCUGGGAGCAGGGGGGCCACGGUCACAUGCUUUGCUCCUCCUGCCACCUCGGGUGGGUCUGGGUGGACCUGCCAUCUGCCUGCAGCCGGUCCCCGAGGGGCUGGCCAUCUGAGUCACCUGGACUGACCUGGACUCCCUGUGUCAGCUUGGCAGCAGGUUCCCUUGCUCUUACCUCAUCUGCACCUGCUGGCUUCUGGACAAGGAGUGGGAUCACGUGGUCCAGGAGGAGCUCGGCACAGCUCCAGCUAGAAGAGGUGGGACACAGUGAAAAGGACCGUCUGGCCGAGGACCGAGGACCUCUCAGAUGCAGCACCUGUCUGCUGGCCCUGCUCUGACACACCUCCUCAGGCGGCCCAGACCCUCAGCCCCCUGACUGCUCACCUGCGGGCUCUUCAGUACCUGCUCUGGCCCCAGCCUGGCCCCUCUC